CCAAUACUCCUUCUGUUCGAAAAAGCUUGUCCCAAGAUUGUUUCUCAAAUGAAUGUAUCUUGCACUAACUUAGUGCUACAUGCACCCAUUUGGUGGACAAACUUUUUCGGACAGAAGGAGUAUAUA
rfam:Triticum aestivum genome assembly, contig: Triticum_aestivum_CS42_TGACv1_scaffold_404531_5BL